AUGAAUUUCGGCGAGCUAGAGGCGGUGGUGGAUAUGGAAGCGGCGGCGCUUGACGGUGGCUCGCAAAGGAUACGUUCGCCCUGCUUGCCGUCCCGAUUUCUGUUAGCCAACCUCCCCCGUUCAAGAUGUGGAGAUUCAAUGUUUUUGAUUGGCAAAGCUUUAGAUUCGAUUCUGAAUAUAGGUGUACUAUUUUUCAUAUUUGUAUGA